rnacentral:rRNA from 1 species
UGGAUAGAGGCUACCAUGGUGGUAACGGGUAACGGGGUGUUAGGGCACGACACCGGAGAGGGAGCCUGAGAAACGGCUACCACAUCCAUGGAUGGCAGCAGGCGCGCAGAUUACCCAAUCCCGACACGGGGAGGUAGUGGCAAUAAAUAACAAUACGGGGUUCUUUCGGAUCUCGUAAUUGGAAUGAGUACAAUUUAAAUCUCUUAACGAGGACCCAUUGGAAGGGCAUAUUCUGGUGCCUGCAUCCGCGGUAAUUCCAGCUCCAAUAGCGUAUAUUAAAGUUGUUGCAGUUAAAAAGCUCGUAGUUGAAUUUCGGGGUUAGUAAGUUGGUCAUGCCUCUGGUAUGAACUGGCUUUAUUGAUUCCUCCUUCUUGAUGAACUGUAAUGUCAUUAAUUUGGUGUUGCAGGGAAUCAGGACUGUUACUUUGAAAAAAUUAGAGUGUUUAAAGCAGGCAUACGCUUGAAUACAUUAGCAUGGAAUAAUGAAAUAGGACGUUUGAUCCUAUUUUGUUGGUUUCUAGGAUUGACGUAAUGAUUAAUNNGGNUUGNUGGGGGCGCAUUAGUAUUCAAUUGUCAGAGGUGAAAUUCUUGGAUUUAUUGAAGACUAACUACUGCGAAAGCAUUUGCCAAGGAUGUUUUCAUUAAUCAAGAACGAAAGUUAGGGGAUCGAAGACGAUCAGAUACCGUCGUAGUCUUAACCAUAAACUAUGCCGA